GUCUACGGCUAUACCACCCUAAAUGCUCCCAAUCUCGUCUAAUCUCAGAAGCUAAGCAGGUUCGGGCCUGGUUAGUGCUUAGAUG
rnacentral:rRNA from 1 species